AAGUGUUGGAAUUACAGGCGUGAACCACCAUGCCUGGCCAGCUCUAUUUCUUUAAGCCUACAUGUUUUGCACUUGUUAAAAGUAUUUGAAUAUACAAUUACUCAGUUUCCCUUGUUUAUGCUUGAAUUUUGUAUAAUCUUAAAUAUUUUUUCCAAUCUAAGCUUUAUUUUAUCCCGUUUCUUCUAUAUUUGUAUAACUUUAGGUGGCUAUCUUCAUUGAAAAUUUUUUCUCAAAAGCCUUAAAAUAGAACAUAGUUCUUGGCAGCAAUUUAAAGUUAUUUGAGGAGAAGGGGAGACUUACAAUGAUGCUUCAAUUGAAGCAAACUAAAAAGUAAUGAAGCAAGACAGAGGAAAAAGCAGUAUUCACUUGAGCACAUCCCAAAAGAAUAACAUUUCAAAUGUAACUAGAAAAAAGAUUGCUGAAGUUUGCAAUACAGAAAUAAUUAUUAAGAUAGCUUUAAAGCCCUGCUCAGCUUUUGAAUGUUGGGAAUUGACCCAGAGGUGGCUGUAAACUAAGAUGGUUCCUUCAGUAAUGACCAUUUUUUCUUUUUCAAGAUGAUGAUUAUUCCCCACCUUCUAGGACACAAAGACCAACGAGCCACCACAGCCACCAGUCCCAGAACCCGCUAAUGCUGGGGAACGGAAAAUGAGGGAGUUCAACUCUGGCCCUCACAAUCCAGUGGAGGAGACGAAACUCAUCUGCCUCUGUCCCUCUGGGCACGCCUCAUGCCAGGUGCAUCUGUGGACAGGGGCCAUGCUCCUGGGCUUCCAAAGUUGGAGAAAGCUGCCAGGCUCAGGUCUGAAGGCCAGAAUUCUACAGUAAGUCCUACUGAGUCAAGGUGGGAGCAGGGUCGGUGGCUUCUGAGGCUCUGCGGGAGAAUCCGUUUCCUGGUCGUGGAGGUGGCCUGCACUCCUCAGCUUGUGCUGCCAGUCUCGAAUGACUGGAGUUUCCUGCUUCUGUCACUACACCUCCCACCCUCUCCAUCACCUGCUUUGCUCUUAUAAGGAUCCGGAGAAAUGGAAUAAUUGUAUCGCUCAUCUACGUAAACAAAUUGAAGAAUUGUCUGAAAGAAAAUAUGACAUGAACUUAAUGAAUUCAACAGGUGAAGAUUUACAACUUGAUAAAUCAGCUUCCUGAGCUCGAGCUGUAAAAGCCAAAGGUCCGGUGAUGAUCCCAUACCCUUUUUUCCAGUCUCAUGUUGAAGAUUUUUAUGUAGAAGGCCUUC
rnacentral:lncRNA from 1 species